rnacentral:rRNA from 1 species
UACGGAGGAUCCGAGCGUUAUCCGGAUUUACUGGGUUUAAAGGGAGCGUAGGCGGCGCGGUAAGUCAGAUGUGAAAUCCCGGGGCUCAACCCCGGAACUGCAUCCGAUACUGCCGUGCUAGAGUAAUGGAGGGGUAGCUGGAAUUCUCGGUGUAGCAGUGAAAUGCGUAGAUAUCGAGAGGAACACUCGUGGCGAAAGCGAGCUACUGGACAUUUACUGACGCUGAGGCUCGAAGGCUAGGGGAGCGAAAGGG